UGGUUUUUUUGGAGGUGUCGACAUGGAUGAGUUUUUGUCUCUGUUUAUAUUUUUGUUUCAUUUUGAUUAUUGAUUAUUGUUUCUGCUACUAUGCUACUUCUUAUGUUUUCAGAGUUAAAAAAAAAAGAAUUAUUAGUUUAAAAAUGUCACGAUUUCUAAAAUUUUUUUUUUGUCAGCUUUUCAAAUUUAUGUAUAUUAACAUAAAAUAGAAGUUUUAAUAUUUAAUGUCGAUAUAUAAUUAUUAGAUUUAAAAAUCAAAAAUUUAAAAGUCAAAACAUAUCCUUAAAUACUAUAUUACCUUUAUAUAUUUUAAAAAUGUCAUGAUUUCCAAAUUUAUGUAUUUUUUGUUAGCUUUUUUUUGUCAGCUUUCCGAAUUUAUGUAUAUUAACAUAAAAUAGAAGUUUUAAUAUUUAAUGUCGAUAUAAAAUUAUUAGAUUUAAAAAUCAAAAUUGAAAAAGUCAAACAUAUCCUUAAAUACUAUAUACCUUUAUAUAUGAAAAUUACAAGCAAAAUAGAAAUACUAACAAAAAUACAAAAUUAGAUCCUUUAAGUAUAAUAAAUUCAAAGUAUCGUCAAUACCAAAAAAUGGAAAACUGAUGUUAAAGUAGUUGAAUAACAAUAAACUAAAACAUCUAAAAGGGAAAUUCACUUAAUACAUAAAAUAAGAAACUUUCUAAUAUAUGAAGUAUUGGGUGACUAUAAAUAAUUGUCUAAAGUUCUAAAAGUUUUCAAGAUUUUACAUUGAGAAAGAGAGAGAGAGUCAGAAAAUAGAUAUGGCGGCUUCUGCUACUUCUUUGGUUUUCGAUGAUCUUAGAAAAGGUCUUAAUAAGAAUGAAGUUCUUGCUUGAGUGGUUCACUUUUGGGAAGCAAGUAAUCAACAAGGGUAGUUUGCUUAUGGGCUUCGAGUUAUUUCUUAUUA
rnacentral:lncRNA from 1 species